rnacentral:lncRNA from 1 species
UAACAGUAAGGGGGCAUUACGAGGUACAUGGUGAAAGUAUCAGCGUGGAAUCAUCACCUAGUGUGCCAGUAAUGAACAAUUUUACCCGGUUUUCCUUCCACCGCCCACCCAGCGCUGCUGCGGCUUCUGCUACAAGAGCAACUGCAAGUCCAAGACCUACCGUGGCAAAAGCAUUCCAAAGGAACAUCUUCAUUGGUGAGCUUGUGGAUGGCAAGUUGGAGACAAGCAGGACGCUAACUGUGCGUUUUUCUGAAUUUGAAGCCUCUGUUUUGGGUAUCACCAGUAAGGUCACUGAUGCCCUUGAACAAGAUGACUCAUUCGUCCUUACAGAUGGUCAAGGAAACAAAAUCCUAGAUUCCGAAGGAACCAGAGGUAUAGUGGAACAUGUUGUUUUUAGCAGUGAUCUUCAAAUCUUGUCUUGGAGGGCUGUGUCCAGCACAGUUUAGUGUCCAACACCUAGUUAACUUGCC